rnacentral:rRNA from 1 species
UUGACGGGGGCCCGCNNAACAAGCGGUGGNUAGCAAUGUGGUUUNNAAUUUCGAAGCAAACGCGAAGAACCCGUUACCAGGUUCUNUGACAUCCCGCCGACCGCCUAGGAGACUAGGCCUUCCCUUCGGGGACGGCGGUGACAGGUGGUGCAUGGUUGUCGUCAGCUCGUGUCGUGAGAUGUUGGGUUAAGUCCCGCAACGAGCGCAACCCUUGAUCUUAGUUGCCAGCAUUCAGUUGGGCACUCUAAGGUGACUGCCGGUGACAAACCGGAGGAAGGUGGGGAUGACGUCAAAUCAUCAUGCCCCUUAUGACCUGGGCUACACACGUGCUACAAUGGAUGGUACAAAGGGCUGCGAACCCGCGAGGGGGAGCCAAUCCCAUAAAACCAUUCUCAGUUCGGAUUGUAGGCUGCAACUCGCCUACAUGAAGCUGGAAUCGCUAGUAAUCGUGGAUCAGCAUGCCACGGUGAAUACGUUCCCGGG